AUCGCUUCUCGGCCUUUUGGCUAAGAUCAAGUGUAGUAUCUGUUCUUAUCAGUUUAAGAGACCAUGCUUGUAAAAUACUUAUUCAGUGCCCUUGUACAUGGUAAAUGUUUCAUAAACAAUAGCUAUAAAUAGAUAUAUUAAUAUAUUAUCAGAUGCCCCCAUUCCCC
rnacentral:snRNA from 1 species